CUGCAGCCAAUUAAGCUGACCGGCCCCCUCUCUCCUUGGGGGCCCGGCGUGCAGUGGCUGCAGACAGCAGCCUCCUUGGUGGUGUACGUGCCCUGUUUCCUAUAGGGUUGCCCUAAAGGACCUUGGAGACAGCG
rnacentral:snoRNA from 1 species